UAAGAGGGGAGAAAAAAAUCAGCUCUGGUAGAGUCUGAUGCAAGAACAAACUAUCAUGAGUUAAAAAGAUAUUAGUCUUUACACAUUUAAAUCCAACAUGCUCAGUCUGUGUUGUUUUUUUCUUCCCCUCAGAAUCUGAAUGAAUGAAAGGGCUUUCUCUUUUGAAAAAUUUUAAAAAUUCCAGUUUAUCAUAAAAUACAAGUGCCUUUCAUUAUUUUAAUCACGCUGCAAAUAAAUGUGAUGAAUUUGUUAUGCUUAUUUAAAACAUACCACCUCUUCCUCUCUCUCUCUAAAUGGCAAAUGUGAGGCAAUUGCAAAUAUCCUGCCAGGGUGGUAAACACUCCGCUCAGUGGCAUUGUUCUUAAAUUCAGCAGAGAGUAUUGACUGUAGAUUUCUGAAGGGAAACAAUUUGUGAGCCAUCCAACAUGCUCAACCUGCAUACCAAUCAGUCCAACAUAUGUUACGUUAAAAAGAUGUCUUCAUUUAGUUAUCUAAUCGGUAUGUACACCAGUUAAACAAGUGUGAAUUGUGGGUUUUCACUGCCGCUCGCUUCACAAAGACCAUCAGCAGCCUUUCUGAAAUUAAAUAGCAUCUUACUCAGUAUUCUCAUCACAGACGGGAGCAGAGAGCAGCGGCCAGAAAUGGGUGGAAAGGAAAGCAGGAUGAGGCAAAAAGCACACAACACUGCUGUACCAAACACAGCUCCCAGUCGCUAAUGUUGAAAAUCGCAAAUUUGUCCUCCUCCUACUCCUGUUAACCUGAUUACUGAAGUUAACAACGCAACACGCUCCCACAACCCUAUACUUUGACCUGCACCAAAAAAAUAAUUAAAGCUGGCUUAGAUUGCAUACACAGAUUCACCACUACAUUCAGUUUAACACUGAACUAUGCUGCUUCUUCAUUGUCCCAAUUAACUAAACAGUUAUUUGCCACUGCACCUACUCCAAGUGAAGCAGGAAUGGUCACCAGAUUAGUGUCGCCUUUGACCUACAAAAGCUCUCUGAGGGCAAAUUUUUAGGUUCUCUGAAGAGUGAAUACGUCAGGCUUAUGACAAAUGACAAAGUGUGUCAGAUGAAGUCUGGUGAGAAGUGACACGCUGUCUAAAUUUGUAAUAUUAUUAUUGUUUUUAUUAAUAAUAAUCUUCAAAUUCAUUUUUAAAGAUUAUGAAACAGGGAAUAAAAAGACAACUUGGGCAGCUCUUUCCCUUCCUUCACACCUGUAAAAAAAAAGAAAAGAAAAAAAGAAAGAAAGAAAAGGAAGAAAGAAGAAACAUCAUCUGAAAAGGAAAAAUAAACCUUGAAAAAACGAUAAGGUUUCCUUUUCUUGCCAAACCUUCUAUAAUAUAUAAAUAAGAUGAUCUAAACACACUGAAUCUGAAUAUUCAGGGGGUAAAUGAUGCUGCACCUAUUGUUAGUGCUGAGAGUCACGGAAAAUAAUUCUCCCGGCUUUUGGGGCACUGGGCGGUUUGUCUUUUCCGUACCUUGACAAAAAUCGAUGUAGAAUGUAGGUAAUGAUAAAACCACAGGUUCUCCUCUAACUGAAAUUAGCCUCUCAGUAAACAGAGAUCAUGCCUAAAACCCGACAUUAUCUUUAUUGCAGGUAUGCCAAUAGCGCCGAUUUAUGGCCCCGUAAAUGAUCAAUGCUUGUUGCACUCUGUGGGUUAUCAACUAAACUGUGGCUUCACUGGGAUGUAAAGUUGCUGUCUGGGGACUUUGUCUGUUUUCUAUUAAUAAAGGAAAAAGGCUGCGUGCGUCUAGACGGCGUUAAUUUUAGCCAGACGCACCAGACAAAUUAUACACAACAUUAUGCGUUACGCAAAACAUCACGUACUACAUUAAGUACAUUAAGCCUGGAGAGAUUUCCUCCCCGGAGAACGAUAUGGACCGCUGACAAUAACCACAUCACGCCGACUUCACAGAGAGGCAGCAUAAUCAAUCUGAUCACGAGUUGUCUGCCAUAGCGCGCCUUGACGAGCCAGCCACAACAAGAAUAAACAGCGUUCAAUAUUCCAGACCAUGAGCCACACUGACAGACACAAACGCGGAGAGAUCAAAAUGGUACGGGGAGGGGGGCAAACAGACACCGGUGCCUGCUAAAAAAGUACACGCGACACAGACGGCAGGCAAGGGUCUCCGAUUUGAGCCAGCUCUCAUUUGAUCAACGCACAGGUGGACUUUGAGGCAGGAUGAACACUGUAGCGCUACCUUGUUACAGUGAAGGAGAAAGAAGGGGGGUUUGGUCUCGGGAAAGCUGCCUAAGGGAUAAAGAGGAAAAAAGAGUGAAAGGGGAAGAGAGAGAUCAGACACACUCGAUAACAAAUCAAUUUGCCAUCGCAUCUGUUACCAGUUCCCCCACCUCACAGUGUGCUGCGCGUGCUACGGCGAGCCGAUUAUUGGUAACCAAUCAAACAUUUAGCUGGCUGUCAAUCAAUUGCAGUGCGCCUGUACAGUGACUGGAUUUACGGUUGUUUCGUGUGUAAAAACCAGUGUCUCCAGUCCCCCAUCAUGAUGUCAUCACGGCUAAAUAAGCCACGCUGGUGCGUCUGGAGACACAAGGACAAGCAUGAGUGUCGCCGUCUUAAAAAAAAAAAAAUAUGGGCAAAAUUUCCACCAAAACAAGCUAACGCGAUUUCAAAGUCACACGCAGCGAGGCGUCAUAUGUUGUCUGGCUCCCCGUGAAACAGCCAGACCUCACGUCCUCUGACUGCGAUCUCCAGAAUACUAACGAGCCCGAGAAGAAGAAGGGGGGGUUACGUCAACAUUAACAUCUCUACACUGAGCUACAGUGCGUUAAUGCAAACUUCAACACCUUGCAGCGCAAUCAGCAAAUCAACACGGCGCUGACGUCAACGCAGCCAGUCAGACGAGCAGCAGGCAGGCGGGCAGCCGGCGCUGCGCUCCAGUCCAUACAAACACUGAGAAAGUGAGACACCUAGGGGGCUGUCUCAUGUCAAACGCCUGUUACAGUAUGGCAGUGAAAGCCUUCAGCUGCACCCUCAGAGGACAAACUACAGCGCUUAAGAGAAUCCCCCGGAUCAAUACGUCUCUUGUCUUGAAUGGCAAAAGAAUGGCAGCCCCACAAACAGGACUUGUUUGGUCAGUUUCAGGCACUUGAGGAGAUACAGCUGGGGAAUGAGAAGAAAAAGAAGGGAGUAUGAUGCAUUAAAGGCUUGGGCAGCCAGAAAUUGAAUGUUACAAGUUUGUGGGUUGUGCAUUAUUCAUCAGGGGACUGAACAACCUGGACAAUCUUGACAAACUAAUUCAAUAAAUGUCUUUAUGAUCAAUAUACUGCAUACAUAGACAUCACUGGGCAAGAAGUCCCAUUUAAAAACAAUUUUUAAAAAAGUAUUUCAUGAAUAAAUCAAGCAAAGUAACGCUGGCCAGUAACCUGUACAGAACAGCGUCUUCUGUAUUUUGUUAAGACACUGAACUGUGCUCUCUUCUGCACUUUCAGCUGCUCUGUUGGUAAAGUGGUGCUAAUGUCGAAUAUUAUAACGAUCCCACUCAAAGUAAUGCUGAUGCAUGGGAUCUCCUUAUUCUUCCUUUGCAUAAGAAGGACUCAUUUGUUGCUUUUUGAUGGAUCAUUUGAGAUAGAGGGAGCAUGUGGAAUUAGGCGAUUGUUGCAUUCAUUGCUUUUGCAUGUAAAGUGGAAGCAGUAGUGAACAUUUUCAGUGACUUCCCCGUCUUGUACUUGCUACACUCUUGUAAUUAUGACUGCCUUUUGAAUACUGUGCAUGCUAUCAAAAACAUCUAAACCGCCUUUCUUUGAGACUUUAUACAGCGAUGUAACCUACAUAUGCUCAGUUUUCUUUUGAGCCUAAAACACCAACAUAUGUUUGCUGUAUUCACAGAUGCUGCAACCGUACACUCAGGGUAUUUGUUAAAUACUUGACAAUAGAACUAAGACCUACAAACACACACGCACGCACAUGCACACCUCAAUUUCUUCCCGGUGUCACUGUGUGAAUUUGUUUGUCUACCUGUGUUCAAUUGCCCUCGGUUUGAUUCUCUCCAUCCUUUUGUGAUGCGCUGCUUAAUAGCCCCUUUCCUUUCAGAGGAGAUUGCAUGGACAUCUUGGAAGGGCCAAAAAGCCCAGAGAUAGACUAGUUUAGCGCCAAGUCCGUGUACUUAAAUUAAUCUCACAUCACUGUAAUGAGUAAGAGAAGAACUCAAUGGUGAAAUGGUGGGUGAAGAAAUAAAUGCAGAAGGACAGGCAGUAAGGAGAAACGAGACAGGCUAAAGAGUGAGACAAAAUGAAGCAGAUUAAAGCACAGGUUCAGUGAUUGGUAGAUCCGGUGUAAUGCUUAAUAGCAUACAGUAAAGUUUCUAAUUCACCCAGAAAUGCGAUGCAUAAUACCACUCAGAAAAAGAAUAAGGGAAACACAGAGUCAGCUUUCUCUGUUAUUCCUUUUUUUCUAGUUUUGGUUUUCGUUAGUGCCCUUGUCAUUUCUUGGCAGCAUGAAGCAGCUCAUUCAGGUUGCACAGCCCAUCCAGCUCUUCCAGCAUGGCACAUCCAUAUUUGCUGUUGCAAGAAUGUUUGCUAUGCCUCCCAACACAAUCUCAAGAGUGUGGAAGAGAUACCAGGAGAUGGGAUAGGGCCAUUGUAGGGCAUCAGCCCAACAGUGGGACUGACAUUUGGCCCUAUGUGUAUGUAGGAACAGGAGGAGCACUGCCAAAGACCUACAAAAUGACCUCCAGAGGGGUACUCAUGUAUAUUUCUGAUCAAACUGUCAUAGUCAGGCUCUAUGAGCGUGGCAUGAGGGUGGUACCUGUGUUCACAGACCGGCACCGUGCAUCUAGAUUACCAUUCGCCAGACAACAUCAGAGCUGGCAGGCCCACCAUUGGCAUUCUGUUCUCUUCACAGAUGAGAGCAGGUUCAUUCCGAGCACAUGUGACAGAUGUGAAAGAGUCUGGAGACAUCAUGGUGACUGAUAUGCUGCCUGCAGUACCAUCCAGCAUGACCGGUUUGGCAGAGGGGCAGUGGUGAUCUGUGGAGGCAGAUCCUCGGAGGGUUUCUACAUGCUCGCCAACAGUAACCUGACAGCUGUUAGGUACAGGGAUGAAAUCUUCAGGCCCAUUGUCAGACCUUAUGCUGGUGCCAUGAGCCCUGGGUUCCUCCUGGUGCUGGACAAUGCCUGGCCUCGUGUGGCUAAAGUGUCCUGGAUGAUGAGGGCAUUGAUACCACUGACUGGCCCUCGCAUUCCUCAAAGACUUGAAUCCAAUUUACAGCCUCGGGGACUUUAUGUAUUGGUGCAUCCAUUGCUGCCAAAUAACACCACAGACUGUCCAGGAACCCUGAUCCAGGUCUGGAAGGAGAUCCCCCAGGAAACCAUCCACUGUCUCAUCAGGAGCAUGACCAGAUGUUGGGAGUACAUAUGGGCAAAUGGGGGCCAUACAUACUAAUGAGCCAGAUUAUGAAGCAAGUUGGAUUAGACUGUAACUUUUAUCUUUGACUUUUAACAUCAUUUUGAAUCCAACCCUCAAAACGGGGAUUAGCUUAGUUUCUAGUCACUGUUACACAAAGCAAUCAAUGUCAAUAAAGUUUUUCAACUUUAAUGUUUUGUUCAUAAAUAUCUGAUGUGUGGUUUAAGUGUUUACAUAAAUAUUACAAUUACUGUUUAUGAUUUAAGACUCACACAAG